rnacentral:rRNA from 1 species
UGCCAGCCGCCGCGGUAAUACAGAGGGUGCAAACGUUGCUCGGAAUGACUGGGCGUAAAGCGCGCGUAGGCGGUGAGUUAAGUCGACUGUGAAAGCCCAUGGCUCAACCAUGGAAGCGCAUUCGAAACUGGUUCACUGGAGUCCCGGAGAGGGUGGUGGAAUUCCUAGUGUAGAGGUGAAAUUCGUAGAGAUUAGGAGGAACACCGGUGGCGAAGGCGACCAUCUGGACGGGUACUGACGCUGAGGCGCGAAAGCGUGGGGAGCAAACAGGAUUAGAUA